CAGCAGCCGCGGUAAUACAGAGGGUGCAAGCGUUAAUCGGAUUUACUGGGCGUAAAGGGCGCGUAGGUGGUUAUUUAAGUGAGAUGUGAAAGCCCCGGGCUUAUCCUGGGAACUGCAUCUUAUACUGGGUAACUGGAGUGCAGUAGAGGGUAGUGGAAUUUCCGGUGUAGCGGUGAAAUGCGUAGAUAUCGGAAGGAACACCAGUGGCGAAGGCGGCUACCUGGACUGAGACUGACACUGAGGCGCGAGAGCGUGGGGAGCAAACAGGAUUAGAUACCCCGGUAGUCCCUGUCUCUUAUAC
rnacentral:rRNA from 1 species